GCCCAGGUGGUGGAAUGGUAGACGCGCCGGCUUGAGGGGUCGGUGGCCGAAAGGCCGUGCGAGUUCGAGUCUCGCCCUGGGCA
rnacentral:tRNA from 1 species